rnacentral:lncRNA from 1 species
CUAAUUGUGCAGACUGAAGACUAAGCUCAUGGUGUCAUGCUAGGAAUGUGGGGGGGUUGCUUUGCUGAGGGGACCAGCCUUCCCCCACCCCAAUCCACAACUAUCUAUCUAUCUAUCUAUCUAUCUAUCUAUCUAUCUAUCUAUCUAUUUAUAUCUAUCUAUCUAUGUAUCUAUCUAUCAUCUAUCAUCUAUCUAUCUAUCUAUGUAUCUAUCUAUCAUCUAUCUAUCUAUCUAUCUAUCUAUCUAUCUAUCUAUCAUCUAUCUGUGGUAGGAAAGGUCUAUUUUUGCUCAGUUCUCUUUCAGCACAGAUGCUGGCCUCCUCCAGAGUGUCUCUCCCAAAAAUGCCCCCGUUACUUCUUCUCAAGCAGUGCAAAGAAUUUAGGAAAUGGGGGCCAGGUGGAAGUUUGUGGUCCGAACAACGCCCCCACCUGGCUGUGACACUCCUAUCUCUCCCCUGUGACGUCUUUACCAGAUACCCUUGUAUGCUUGAUGUGAGGUGCUGGCCCCCACAUCGUGCCCUGCCUGUCAGGACAUGGCCACAUACCUGCCUCCCAUCAGUUACCUGUCUACUUACCUCAGAGGUCCAGACAAGAAGCAGAGCCUGAGGCAGGUGGCACACACACACCGGGGGCAGCACUCUGUCAGCAUCGAGUCUCAGCUCUGACCCCCUGACCCCAGGUUCGCUGGCAACAUGGAACGGCAGCAGACGGACAAUCUACUCAAGUCUCAUGCCAGCGGGACCUACC